rnacentral:rRNA from 1 species
GAUGAACGCUGGCGGCGUGCCUAAUACAUGCAAGUCGAGCGAACGGGCGAGAAGCUUGCUUCUCUGAUGUUAGCGGCGGACGGGUGAGUAACACGUGGAUAACCUACCUAUAAGACUGGGAUAACUUCGGGAAACCGUAGCUAAUACCGGAUAAUAUUUUGAACCGCAUGGUUCAAAAGUGAAAGACGGUCUCGCUGUCACUUAUAGAUGGAUCCGCGCUGCAUUAGCUAGUUGGUAAGGUAACGGCUUACCAAGGCAACGAUGCAUGGCCGACCUGAGAGGGUGAUCGGCCACACUGGAACUGAGACACGGUCCAGACUCCUACGGGAGGCAGCAGUAGGGAAUCUUCCGCAAUGGGCGAAAGCCUGACGGAGCAACGCCGCGUGAGUGAUGAAGGUCUUCGGAUCGUAAAACUCUGUUAUUAGGGAAGAACAUAUGUGUAAGUAACUGUGCACAUCUUGACGGUACCUAAUCAGAAAGCCACGGCUAACUACGUG